rnacentral:tRNA from 2 species
GCACCCAUAGCUCAGCUGGAUAGAGUGCUGCCCUCCGAAGGCAGAGGUCGAAGGUUCGAAUCCUUCUGGGUGCGCCA